GCUGGGUGUGGUGGCUCACACCUGUAAUCCCAGCAUUUUGGGAGGCUGAGACGGGUGGAUCACCUGAGGUCAGGAGUUUGAGACCAGCCUGGCCAAUAUGAUGAAAACCUGUCUCUA
rnacentral:SRP_RNA from 1 species